UCUAAUAUGUGUUAAUAAAUUAUUUAUUUUCAACAUUUCUAAUAAGAAAUUAAGGAUAUCUCAAAUAAAUGAUGUGUAAGUAUUAUCGAUUCGAUUUUAUCGAAUUUUAUUGAGAUAUACAAAUCGUAUGAGAUAAAAGGGUUAAAAUUUAAAAAUAUUUCCAGGUCGGGAUCUCAUUUCUGGGAUAGAGUUCGUUUAAGUCAGAAAUAGAGGGUUCCGGGUACGAUUUAUACUUUCUAAUCUGCCACGCCGGAACCUUACAACUAUCUCGUUCAUGUGAAUUACAACGCACGAUAGUAUUUCACGUGGUGGCUCGCGUGACCGGAAUUGGGGAUUACGCGGGAUUAAACGGUGUUCCAGGCACUCGAUGAUUGUUUGCAUUGCGUCCCUCGCGAGAUCCCAGCUUCUCGAAUUGUUUAUUUCUUCCUGUAAUCGAUUUCAUCCAUUCAGGUACCCAUUCCUCUCCCCCCAUCGAUUUUGGAUUUUUCGAAUCCUGUAUGUAGGGCAUGUAAAUCCGGUAUGUUUCGAUAGGCUUAGUUGGAUUUACCGUAUACUGAUAAUUUGUUAUCGCACUAUUUCAAAGAGAGUAAUAAGGAAAGAGAUUUGUGAACGAAUGAAAAUUUUGAGAAUUUAAUAUAUUGGCGAGAAAUCGAAAGUAAUUGAAAUAAUUUUUUUAUUUUAAAAUUAAAUUAUUUUUGUUGCUCACAAAUGAUUCUUUGUAUAAUCUAAUUUACAUUUAUACAUAUAAUUAUAUUUUUAAUCACAUCAACACGUAAUCAAUCACAAUAAUGCAUCAUUUCAAAUCAUCAAUGUAUAAAUUUUCAAAGGAUAUGUAAGUAAAUCACAGUUGUGGGUGAGAGGAUGUUUUAAGUUCAAUUCAAAGAGACAGUGAUUACUAAUGAUCCUGUUUUUUCUUUUCAGAUUUUCCUUUUAACAAUAAACGUAAUAAACUACAACAACAUAAGGCUGAAUUAUUGUUAGACGUGUGAGUAAUGGUACUUCAAGAUUGGAGGAAAUUUAUAAAAUGAUAUUUACGAGAAAGGAUAUGACUUUCUUAAAGAACGGGUAUAGCAUUGUAAUAUAUGAAUGAAAUUUGGAGAAAUUAAUUGUUAUAUUAUGCAGAUAGGAAACGGAGAUUAAAGGUUAUUAAAUUAUAGUAUGACAUGUAAAUGACUUUGGUCAAGCGGAUUUUUCUGGUUUAAUGCGAGAUUAAUUGUUGUGCAAAAUUUCAUCGUGCCAAGUUUCAAAGCGUUGGAUGAUUUAUGGUUACGAGAAUUUUACUAAAAUGCACUUGUAGAACGUUACUUGUCUCGUUAAUAAUUUUUUUGACACGGCAUAAACGACCCUUAACUUAACUUCAACAAUAUGACGAGAUCCAUCUUUGAAGAGUAUCUAACCUGAUCCUAUAAUUUAUAAAUGCUGUGAAAAGAAAUUACAAUUAUCAAAGUUAAUUUUAACCAUUCAGAGUAUCAGCACUAACCGUGCCAUAAUCCACGAUUCAAAAUUCCCGCCAUACAUUCGACUCAAGAGUUAAUCGCGUCCAACAAACGAAUUAAUCCCUUCCGCUGCUCUUUACGACUUUUACGAUGCUUCUAAAUUGCAAGAAUCUCAGGAUUAAACCGUGCAACUUACGGUUAAUUAAUUUUAUCGUCUGAAUAGAAUCGUCUCCCUGCCGCGUCUCGAACCAAUCCUCUCAUUCUUAUGCAAAACUCGCGCGAUCGAACCGAUACGAUCGUUAACGAAAUAUCGGCACGAAACCUCCAAAAAAAGAAAAAGAAAAGGCUUGGUCUGUAAUUCAUAAAGGAGCCGAAACUUGGCUAAUUCAGAAAUUGCCCUCCCCCGUGUAAUUACAAACCAGAGUGUCCACCAGUAUCCGGCUUUAUUAUCCUAAUUUACGCGCGGCUGCCGCUCCUUAUUGCGCAAUUAGGCGACGUGAUACAAGGAUGAAUUUAGGAGGGAAAGGUUUCGAGAUGAUUGAAUAGAGGUUCUUGGAAAUGAUCAAAACAUCGUUUUACCAGAACGAUUUAACGACUCGCCGGAGGGUUAAUGAUACAACCAUAAAUAAGGAACGGUAAUAAGCGUCGAAUCCAAGCAGGAAGUUGCUCGUAGUGUAUUAACUACUAAGGAUAAGCUUUAAUUCCUCGUCCUGGUAAAAUUCGCCUUCGAAAUAUAUCGAAUCAAUCUCUUCUCCAUCGCCUCGAACCGGCUUUCCCUCGAAUCCAACUGGUGCAAAGGGAACAAGAGAAAAUUUGCAAGUAUCGGUGCUCACCAUCGAAUAUCCAGCGGCCUAUCUCAAGGAGAAUCGCUCAUAAAUAUUUAUCCGGGCGGUAUUAUCGCGAGUACAGGGCUGGUCCUCUCUCUCCGCCAGGCUUGUCCAAGCGUUCAAAUCUCCGGAAGUCGGGCAUCGAUCCGGCCUUGAUGCACUCGCGGAUCGGUUCAUCCGGUCGGCUUAGCAGCGUGCUUGUUCAGUUUUCACGAGACUCAAAGCGAGAGAGGAAUCGGGACUUCGCGUUAAUCCUCUUUCUCUCUCUCUCUCUCUCUCUUUCCCUCCUAGUCAACUCGGUAUAAUCUUAACUAACGAGAAAACGCCGGGGUUGGAGUAACACGGCGAACCUGUGAAGCCCUGCUCUGUGAAGGGAUCGCCGUCCACGUUUCCACGACUCCUUUUUACGAAGCCACGCGGAAGGAUUAACGUCAGGGUGAUUUUCAACGUGGUUGUUGCAUGCUAGGACGAGGCAGACAUGUUUUCUUCUUGGUACGUUUUUAUGACUGAGGAAUCGAG